GACGUAGGGCGCGAGCGUUUGUCCGGAUUUAUUGGGCGUAAAGAGCUCGUAGGCGGCUUGUCGCGUCGUGUGUGAAAUCUCAGGGCUCAACUCUGACAUUGCAUACAAUACGGGCAGGCUUGAGUUCGGUAGGGGGAGACUGGAAUUCCUGGUGUAGCGGUGAAAAUGCGCAGAUAUCAGGAGGAACACCGGUGGCGAAGGCGGGGUCUCUGGGCCGAUACUGACGUGAGGAGCGAAAGCGUGGGGGAGCGAAACAGGG
rnacentral:rRNA from 1 species